UACGUAGGGGGCAAGCGUUGUCCGGAUUUAUUGGGCGUAAAGAGCGUGUAGGCGGUUCGGUAGGUCCGUUGUGAAAACUCGAGGCUCAACCUCGAGACGCCGAUGGAAACCCCCGAACUAGAGUCCGGAAGAGGAGAGUGGAAUUCCUGGUGUAGCGGUGAAAUGCGCAGAUAUCUGGAGGAAUACCGGUGGCGAAGGCGGCAUCCUGGACCAUUACUGACGCUGAGGUGCGAAAGCUAGGGGAGCAAACGGG
rnacentral:rRNA from 1 species